CCUACGGGAGGCAGCAGUAAGGAAUAUUGGACAAUGCUCGCAAGAGUGAUCCAGCCAUGCCGCGUGCAGGAAGAAUGCCCUAUGGGUAGUAAACUGCUUUUGAACUAGAGAAAAUCCCAGUACGUGUACUGGGCUGAUAGUAUAGUUGGAAUAAGCAUCGGCUAACUUCGUGCCAGCAGCCGCGGUAAGACGAAGGAUGCAAGCGUUAUCCGGAUUCAUUGGGUUUAAAGGGAGCGUAGGUGGACUGAUAAGUCAGUGGUGAAAUCUCCGAGCUUAACUCGGAAAUUGCCAUUGAUACUGUUGGUCUUGAGUACAGUUGCUGUGGGCGGAAUAUGACAUGUAGUGGUGAAAUACAUAGAGAUGUCAUAGAACACCGAUUGCGAAGGCAGCUCACAAAGCUGUAACUGACACUGAGGCUCGAAAGUGCGGGGAUCAAACAGGAUUAGAUACCCUGGUAGUCCGCACCGUAAACGAUGAUUACUCGCUGCUAGGGGGCAACCUUUAGUGGCUUAGCGAAAGCGAUAAGUAAUCCACCUGGGAGUACGCCGGCAACGGUGAAACUCAAAUUGAAAUUGAGG
rnacentral:rRNA from 1 species